CCCCACCUUCUAAUUCUGAUUGUGACUCCAGACCAUUACCUGGCACUGGGUCUUACCUCUGGCAUUCCUAUCAGAGCCUGAACCACAGACAGUACCUUAGAGUCUAAGCUUAGGUACCUUUGUCUUGUUUUUGUGGCUAAGGAUUCUCAGAGUUGCGGGAUGCUGAUGAAAUUUAUCCCAAAAAGUGUGAAGAGUGCAAAGACCUUAUAGAAUCUGUGCUGGAGGAGGAGGUGCAGUUUCAGGAGAGGGAGCUGGCCGAAUUGCCGAGGUCAGCUGCAAGGCUCCGGAUACAUGAUCCCUUAAUUCAGGCUCAGGCUGAAGAACUGACCCACUUACGACAGAAGACACAGGAAGGGAGAGGUGUCUGCUACCUUUUUACCCAGCAUGUGAAGAACACAGUCAAGUCUUUUGAGGGCCUUCUCAGGAACACUGGCAUUGCCUACUACCAGAGACAGAGAUUCUGUGAGCAAAUGGUACAAGGAAGCCAGCUGACAGAGAUCCUUGUCAGAAAACUUGUCACAGAAUCACCCCCAAUUCUCACCAACAAACUGAGAAGAAAAAAAAAAGAAUUACCCCCAAGAACAUCUGAGGAAGCACAACAGGGACAGACUUGAAGAAAAUCACAACGGUAAGAAAAAUGAAGACAGGCAAAAGCCACUGGCUCCUAGGCACACUCUACUCCCGGUCAAAAGUGGAUUGUAUAUGUCCUCUUUGAUGUGAUGGUCCCUUUGGUUUUGGUGCCUCUUCCAUGAGCUUCAGAUCAGAACUAGCUAUGUGGUUCCAGGCUGCCUUGGUUUCAUCCCUUGUCUUGCCUACUCCACCAGGCUCAGGAGGGACAUCAAGGAGGAAGAAAUGGAUAAAGUCCUGGAGGGACUUCAAACAGUAUUUGACCCAUUCCAGCCGCCAUGACUCCCACCAGCUUCGCAGCAGCAAUGCCUUCCUCUUUGAUGCACAGGAAGGCCCCUCGGCUGUGGAUAUAGCCAAAGAUGAGAUCCAGAGACAGCGGUAGCACCUGAAGGAGACCCUUUUCAUCAACAACUGCCUGUGAGAAAAGCUGGAAUGUCAUCUCAGCAGCUUUGAUGAAGAAAAUGGUGGGAGAGGCCCAAGUCAGUGCUUCUGGCAAUAUGUAUUUUUCUAAAGCAUGCACCUCUAAACUCUACAGGCACAUCAUAGAUUCCAUCGUCCAGCUGUAUAAUGAAAACAGAGUUCUCAGAGAACACCGGAGACUCCCCCGACUUGCCUGAAUCAAGUUUCUAGAGGUAACAACUGAUGUUGGAACUAUGAAAAGCUCUUCUCUACUUUUAACAAAGCUUAGUCACAAACAGUUCCCCAGUUGACGAGAACAACUAAAACAACAGAACAAUUGAAAGUCCAAAUUUGAAAGCUCCAUCUCCGAGAAGCAAAUUUUACAGCCACUCCAGAUUUGUAUUCCAAAUGGAUAGUUUGAUUAUAAAAAUCACAUCCCUUCAGCCUGCAAAUGUGAUAACUGCCCAAGAGACAGUGAUGCCUACAUCCAUAGAUAAUCCCCUUUCCCCCAACCUAUAUAUAACUGGAGUCAACAGCAGCUGGAGGAAAAUGGCAAGGACUUGUAAUCAAGAUUAAGUUAGAAAAACACUGCUGUAGACUGUUUAUCAGCUCUUCAGCAUAUGUCCGUUUUCCUUGAAGGAUGAGCGUUUAGAAACCUCUGACAAUAAAGUUUAUUUUACACACA